UUGAAAGGGAAACGAUUGAAGUCAGUCGUGCCGGCGUAAAAUCAGUUAGUAGAAUAGGUGGACGGUGUUGCAUAAGUGGCACCGUUACAUUGAUUCUACUGGUGCACUUUUGCGCAGGGCAGGUCAGCAUCGGUUUUGAUGGUCGUAAAAGAAUGGCAGCAAUGUGGCCCUUUCGGGGGUGUUAUAGGCAGUCAUGGAUGCGAUGGUUGGGACCGAGGAGUGCAGCGGACACCUAUCUUCGGGUGGGCUAGUCGCCUUUCUUCUGGUCGCUACCCUUUCAUUGCAAGAGUAUCUUACAGUGUUAGGUCGGGCGGACAAUAGGGAAGAGCGAUCGUAAGUUCGUUAAGGAUGUUGACGUA
rnacentral:rRNA from 1 species